rnacentral:snoRNA from 1 species
AGUGAGCUCACAGAGAUUAAGUAACAUUAUUUUAUUUACAAUACACCCAACAGGAAUCUGGCUGGGUUCAUUGUGACAAGGGUCACAAAACUUGGAGCCUUCCUAUGAACAAAUACCCUACACCU